GUGGCUGUGGUGUAGUCCGGCAGCACAUAAGACUGUGGAUCUUAUAGCCCGGGUUCAAAUCCCGGCAGCCACCCCA
rnacentral:tRNA from 1 species